AUACGUAGGGGGCGAGCGUUGUCCGGAAUGAUUGGGCGUAAAGGGCGCGUAGGCGGCCCGGUAAGUCUGGAGUGAAAGUCCUGUUUUUAAGAUGGGAAUUGCUUUGGAUACUGUCGGGCUUGAGUGCAGGAGAGGUAAGUGGAAUUCCCAGUGUAGCGGUGAAAUGCGUAGAGAUUGGGAGGAACACCAGUGGCGAAGGCGACUUACUGGACUGUAACUGACGCUGAGGCGCGAAAGUGUGGGGAGCAAACAGGAUUAGAUACCCUGGUAGUCCACACCGUAAACGAUGAAUGCUAGGUGUAGGGGGUAUCGACCCCUUCUGUGCCGCAGUCAACACAAUAAGCAUUCCGCCUGGGGAGUACGGCCGCAAGGUUGAAACUCAAAGGAAUUGACGGGG
rnacentral:rRNA from 1 species